GACGAACGCUGGCGGCGUGCUUAACACAUGCAAGUCGAACGGUGAACCUCUUCGGAGGGGAUCAGUGGCGAACGGGUGCGUAACACGUGGGCAACCUGCCCCCGGCUCUGGGAUAACUCCAAGAAAUUGGGGCUAAUACCAGAUGUUCACCGCUUCCCGCAUGGGUGGUUGUGAAAAGGUUUUCCGGCUGGGGAUGGGCCCGCGGCCUAUCGGCUUGUUGGGGGGGUAGUGGACUACCAAGGCGACGACGGGUAGCCGGGCUGGGCGGGUGACAGGCCAACUGGGGAGUGAGAUACGGCCGAGACUCAUAGGGGGGGGAGGAGGGGGGAAUAUGGGAAAAGGGGCGGACGCAUGAGGCAGCACCGCCGGGGGGGGGAUGAGGGCUUUGGGGUUGUAACCCGCUUUCGCAUGGGACGAAGCGUGAGUGAGGGUAAUGGGUAAAGAAGCACCGGCUAACUACGU
rnacentral:rRNA from 1 species